CUCGUCACGGAGGCGGCCAGCGUGCCACCGAGCUCUAGACGGAGCCCUGGGACAGGGCUCGGGAUCCGCGGCAGCGGGCUUCCCUCGAAACAACUUCCUGCUCGCCUGGCCUGGAGCGUAGGAGCUUCGGGGAGAAGUUCUAGGCCGCAGCUCUGCGCUCUCCGAGCCCGACAACUACACUGCGACACCCUGGGGCCGCGCGGUUCCCUCCCGCGCCCCCUCCCGGGGGUCGCGCCAGGCAGGGCUCUAGGGCUCGGACACUGGUGAUCAUGCCAAGAAGGCCCCAGCAGCUCGAACUGCCUGCUCCGCAGGGGCGCCGGCGUGGUUUCCCCCACAGAGAGGCCGGCCUGGGCCUCUGGCGCUGGGGGACGACACUGGGUCACUCUGCUCGGACCCCCUCUCCCUGUCCGGGCAUGCCCUCUCUCAGAGCCAGAUGGACCUGGCUGUCCCCGGACGCCCGAGACGGGGGGCCCAACAGGAACAAGGCCUCCUGGGCCCCUAUUCUGUGCCUGUCUCCCCCCAGCACCCCCCUCCCUGUCCCCCCCCACUCGCCGCCGGCCUUGGCAUUCUAGCCAGUGUCCCUUGACGUCACAUCUCGCCAUUUCUGUCAACCAAUUGAAACUUGCUCGUUGUCAUAAAAAUAUAUAUACUUUUUAUGCCAUUGGUACAUUCAAAA